rnacentral:tRNA from 1 species
GGAGGGUACCGCCAAGGGGCAAAGCGGGUUUGAACCCCGUGGCAGGGACAACCUGGGUGUUCGAUUCAUCUACUCUCCGCCA